rnacentral:rRNA from 1 species
AGUGAACGCUGGCGGUAGGCCUAACACAUGCAAGUCGAACGGCAGCACAGUAAGAGCUUGCUCUUACGGGUGGCGAGUGGCGGACGGGUGAGGAAUACAUCGGAAUCUACUUUUUCGUGGGGGAUAACGUAGGGAAACUUACGCUAAUACCGCAUACGACCUACGGGUGAAAGCAGGGGAUCUUCGGACCUUGCGCGAUUGAAUGAGCCGAUGUCGGAUUUGCUAGUUGGCGGGGUAAAGGCCCACCAAGGCGACGAUCCGUAGCUGGUCUGAGAGGAUGAUCAGCCACACUGGAGCUGAGACACGGUCCAGACUCCUACGGGAGGCAGCAGUGGGGAAUAUUGGACAAUGGGCGCAAGCCUGAUCCAGCCAUACCGCGUGGGUGAAGAAGGCCUUCGGGUUGUAAAGCCCUUUUGUUGGGAAAGAAAAGCAGCAGGUUAAUACCCCGCUGUUCUGACGGUACCCAAAGAAGAAGCACCGGCUAACUUCGUG